UGGUACCUCGCCAUACGAACUCGGACGGCCUCCCUUGUUUCCUCGAUCAAGUCGAGGUUGCUUCUGAGCUGCGAAGAGUUGGAGCCGGCAUCAUGAUGCUCGACUCUUGGAGAGGGAAGCCCAACUUCCAGUGGGAUGACGGCCUCCGUUCCAUAUGUUAGGUUGAAGGGAGUCUCACCGGUGGGGACACGGAACGUGGUCCGGUAAGCCCACA
rnacentral:lncRNA from 1 species